rnacentral:lncRNA from 12 species
AAGAAAUCAGCGUUGCUUUGUUUGCAGCUGCUGCGCCACUGACGUUGAAUUUGUAACAUUGGAUGUAAUCAGACCCCAGGGCUGAAAACAGGGGGAAAGCGAUGAGACAGGCUAUGGACAUUCAGACAAAGAUGGAUUGAAUUCAAACAUCACUGAGAGAAAGACAAGAGAGAGAACAGAAGCUGGUAGAUUCUAGUCCCC